rnacentral:rRNA from 1 species
AGAGUUUGAUCCUGGCUCAGAACGAACGCUGGCGGCGUGCCUAACACAUGCAAGUCGAACGUGAAAGUCCUUCGGGAUGAGUAAAGUGGCGCACGGGUGAGUAAUGCGUAGAUAAUCUGCCUGAUGAUCUGGGAUAACAUCUCGAAAGGGGUGCUAAUACCGGAUAAGCCCACGGGCUCUUCGGAGCUUGCGGGAAAAGGGGGGGACCUUCGGGCCUUCUGUCAUCAGAUGAGUCUACGUACCAUUAGCUAGUUGGUAGGGUAAAGGCCUACCAAGGCGACGAUGGUUAGCUGGUCUGAGAGGAUGAUCAGCCACACUGGAACUGAGACACGGUCCAGACUCCUACGGGAGGCAGCAGUGGGGAAUUUUGCGCAAUGGGGGAAACCCUGACGCAGCAACGCCGCGUGAGUGAUGAAGGCCUUCGGGUCGUAAAGCUCUGUCAGAGGGAAAGAAAUGUGGGGCGCUAAUACCGUUACCACUUGACGGUACCCUCAAAGGAAGCACCGGCUAACUCCGUGCCAGCAGCCGCGGUAAUACGGAGGGUGCGAGCGUUGUUCGGAAUUAUUGGGCGUAAAGCGCGUGUAGGCGGUUUUAUAAGUCUGAUGUGAAAGCCCCGGGCUCAACCUGGGAAGUGCAUUGGAUACUGUAAGACUUGAGUACGGGAGAGGGCAGUGGAAAUUCCUAGUGUAGGAGUGAAAUCCGUAGAUAUUAGGAGGAACACCGGUGGCGAAGGCGGCUGCCUGGACCGAUACUGACGCUGAGACGCGAAAGCGUGGGUAGCAAACAGGAUUAGAUACCCUGGUAGUCCACGCCGUAAACGAUGAGUACUAGGUGNUGCGGGUAUUGACCCCUGCAGUGCCGCAGCUAACGCAUUAAGUACUCCGCCUGGGAAGUACGGUCGCAAGACUAAAACUCAAAUGAAUUGACGG